ACCUUUUCGAUUUCCUAUCCCCCACCUCAGGUUCCUGGGGUGGUCUCUGAUGGAGUGGAGGCAGCGUGGGCAUGGGGGCGGCGUGUCUGCUGUGGGCCCAGCAGGUCCCCCAUGUGCUCUGACCCCCUUUGAGGCAACUAUAGAGUGGGAGACAUAUUUGAGAGACAAAUGCUUUCUGCUUAAGCUCAGGCUGUUGAACUUGGCACAGAACAGCAGCCCUUCCAAGCUUUAUUUACUGUGUGUUCUCUGAAGAUACCACUGUAUCAGACAGAGGCAGCCUGGUCUGACCUUUCCUGUGACACAGAGACAAAAGUGAGGUGUUGAAAACUG